UACAGGGGGGGCAAGCGUUGUUCGGAAUUACUGGGCGUAAAGGGCUCGUAGGUGCCAACUAAGUCAGACGUGAAAUCCCUCGGCUUAACCGGGGAACUGCAUCUGAUACUGGUUGGCUUGAGUGCAGGAGAGGAACGCGGAAUUCCAGGUGUAGCGGUGAAAUGCGUAGAUAUCUGGAGGAACACCGGUGGCGAAGGCGGCGUUCUGGACUGCAACUGACACUGAGAAACGAAAGCCAGGGUAGCAAACGGG
rnacentral:rRNA from 1 species